CCUACGGGUGGCAGCAGUGAGGAAUAUUGGUCAAUGGGCUUACGCCUGAACCAGCCAAGUCGCGUGAGGGAAGACUGCCCUAUGGGUUGUAAACCUCUUUUGUCAGGGAGCAACGCCGGCUACGUGUAGCCGGACUGAGAGUACCUGAAGAAAAAGCAUCGGCUAACUCCGUGCCAGCAGCCGCGGUAAUACGUAGGUGGCAAGCGUUGUCCGGAAUUACUGGGUGUAAAGGGAGCGUAGGCGGGAAAGCAAGUUGAAUGUUUAAGGUACGGGCUCAACCUGUACAAGCGUUCAAAACUGUUUUUCUUGAGUGGAGUAGAGGUAAGCGGAAUUCCUAGUGUAGCGGUGAAAUGCGUAAAUAUUAGGAGGAACACCAGUGGCGAAGGCGGCUUACUGGGCUUUAACUGACGCUGAGGCUCGAAAGCGUGGGUAGCAAACAGGAUUAGAUACCCGGGUAGUC
rnacentral:rRNA from 1 species